CGCUGCACGCUCCUCUGGGGAUGGAGUGGAGCCGGCCUUUUAAGCUCCGCGACCUUAUCUCUGAUACCUCAGCCGCCUGGCCUGAAGCGAAGCUGUCUUGUCGGGGAAGAGAGUGGUCACGGUGUCGCGUGGUAACAAAGCUUAGGACAGGAGAACCUCCAUGAGAAAGGACGUCCUCCGGUAUCUAGAAAUUGGGAAGUCGAAGAUUAAGGUUCCAGCCUAGUCUGUUCCCUGUCCAGGACCCUUUUCCUGUCUUGCAGAAGAGAGGAAGGGAAAGGGAGAGAAAAUCAUUGAUCGCUGCCUUCUGCACACCUCCUACUGUGGAUGGAACCUGCAACCCAGACAUGUGCCCUGAUCGUGAUUUGAAUCGUGACUCCUAGUGUCAUAGAUCAAUACCCAACCACUGAGCCACACCAAGUCUCCCAUCAGGAUAAAGCAGCAUUUGUCAUGCACAUACCGCCCUGUGCAGAAGUGAGGGAAGACUGCUGCAGAAGUGAAUACAGGCAACAUCUUUGAUCCCAGGACACAGGUCUUUGAGAGGAAAUCUCCAAGCCUCUCAAGGAGGCAUUAGAAGGCUAUCCAGGCAGCAAAAGUACCUCAGGAUCAUGGCUGAUAAAAACCAGGAGAUCGGUGGCAUCCAUUUCCCUUUUCCCUUCACACCCUAUUCCAUCCAGAUAGACUUCAUGGCAGUGCUGUACCAGGUGUUGGAGGAUGGCAAGAUUGGGAUAUUUGAGAGUCCAAUUGGCACUGUAAGUAUGAACAGUUGCCCCAAGAGGGCUCUUGGGAGACCUUGAUUACAACUAGUCAGAGGUUUAUUUGCCUCUGCAGAGAUUUUCAUGGUUUGGAGUUGGGCAAAGUAGUUUUCUCAGUUUACCUUUCUGAGUAAUGCUCACUUCCCUCUAUUAAAUUGUUAAACACAACCCCGGGUUCUAAGGAAAAUUCGGCUACAGGCAAAGGAGAAUUUGAAUGGCAGUGGUUCUCCUUUAGGGAGCAACAUAGAAAUUUAUUGCCCUGCCAGGUUGGGCUCAGUUGGUUGAGCAUUGUCCCAUGUACCAGGAGGUUACUGGUUUGAUUCCCGGUCAGGGCACAUGCCUGGUUUGUGGGUUGAACCCCAGUAGGGGCAUGCAGAAGAUAGCUGAUCAAUGUUUCUUUCUCAUCAAUGUUUCUCUCUCUCCCUCUCCAUUCCUCUCUCUAAAGUAAAUGAAAACAUUUUUUUAAAAAAAGCCAAAUUUAUCAAAUUUGGCGCGAUGGGCUGGUGCUUUUAAUUCUUUUGUCUUUCUUAAAAAAUGUACUUUUCUCAUAGUACAUUUUGAAAUUAUAAGCUAUGUGCUCUUGUUUCUUGGUUUGUGGAUUUUAGUGAUUGGUACCUUCCUCUUGUGAUGGAUAACAUGUAGCUUUCUUACUAUCCCUUUUCCCUGCCACUCCUGAUGUAAUUAGCUGUUUUUAGUCUCUGCUAAGGCAUUAUACUAUGAUUGUUUUUUCAUGGAAUAAUGUUAUUUUUCUAGAGUUAAUAAUUGCCUUUUAAAAGCUUGUUUAGUUUUUAAUAUGCUUAUGCUAAUUCCACACACAUCAUCCAGUAGUCUCUCAAUAUGAUACAGAUUUUCACAUUGUCCAAAACUACAGUUGGCCCUUGUUUGUGGGUCCUGCACCCAUGUGUUCAACCAACUCCAGAUCAAAAAUAUUGGGGGGAAAAAGCUACCUUGUUGCUGACAUGUACUAUGUAGUUAGACCUAUGACAGUUGCUGAACAUGUAGAGACUUUUUUCUUAUUAUUAUUCCCUAAACAAUAUAGUAUAGCAAUUAUUUAUAUAACAUUUACAUUAUAUUAUCAUAAGUAAUCUAGACAUGAUUUAAAGUAUAUGGGAGGAUGUGCAUAGGUUACGUGCAAAAACUAAGUCAUUUAUCUACACUAAUAAAAGAGAAAGAUGCUAAUUGACCGUACCUUCACUAUACCCACCAGCCAGAGUUACUAUGCAGAUUAACCCAACAAAGAUGGCGGUUAUAUUUGCAUAUCCAGGUGGGGCGGACAGCGUCAGACGCUGCCAGUCGGUCCGGGCCCCAGAAUGGGACCCGGGACACAGGCCGGGCAGCGCCAGAAGCCACCUGCGGGGUUCGGGCCCCAGAUCGAGGAUGGGGGAGAUGGGCAGGCAGCGCCAGA